UGGGGAAUUUUGGACAAUGGGGGAAACCCUGAUCCAGCCAUCCCGCGUGUGCGAUGAAGGCCUUCGGGUUGUAAAGCACUUUUGGCAGGAAAGAAACGUCAUGGGUUAAUACCCCGUGAAACUGACGGUACCUGCAGAAUAAGCACCGGCUAACUACGUGCCAGCAGCCGCGGUAAUACGUAGGGUGCAAGCGUUAAUCGGAAUUACUGGGCGUAAAGCGUGCGCAGGCGGUUCGGAAAGAAAGAUGUGAAAUCCCAGAGCUCAACUUUGGAACUGCAUUUUUCACUACCGGGCUAGAGUGUAUCAGAGGGAGGUGGAAUUCCGCGUGUAGCAGUGAAAUGCGUAGAUAUGCGGAGGAACACCGAUGGCGAAGGCAGCCUCCUGGGAUAACACUGACGCUCAUGCACGAAAGCGUGGGGAGCAAACAGG
rnacentral:rRNA from 1 species